rnacentral:ncRNA from 1 species
GAUAACAGCACAAUCCUAUUCUAGAGUCCAUAUCAACAAUAGGGUUUACAACCUCAGUGUUGGAUCAGGACAUCCUAAUGAUGUAGCUGCUAUCAAGCGUUCGUUUGUUCAAUGAUUAAAGUCCUACGUGAUCUGAGUUCAGACCGGAGCAAUCCAGGUC